CGCCUCUUGUCACUAAUAAGAGGUCUAGCCUGCCCGGUGAUAAAUUUAACGGCCGCGGUACCCUAACCGUGCGAAGGUAGCAUAAUCACUUGUUCUUUAAAUAGGGACUAGUAUCAACGGCAUCACGAGAGCUGCACUGUCUCCCCCCUCCAAUCAGUGAAACUGAUCUCCCCGUGCAAAAGCGGGGAUAACAUUAUAAGACGAGAAGACCCCAUGGAGCUUUAAACCCUAUAGCAAUUUAGCAAAGCUACAUAAUCCUGCUAGCGGCUUUAGGUUGGGGUGACCGCGGAGUAAAAAUUAACCUCCACAUCGAAAAGAUUAAAAUCUUAACCCAAGAAUUACUAUUCUAAGUAUUAGAAAACUAACGAACCAUGACCCAAUAUUGAUCAAUGAACCAAGUUACCCUGGGGAUAACAGCGCAAUCUACUUCAAGAGUCCUUAUCGACAGGUAGGCUUACGACCUCGAUGUUGGAUCAGGGUAUCCUAGUGGUGCAGCAGCUACUAAGGGUUCGUUUGUUCAACGAUUAAAACCCU
rnacentral:rRNA from 1 species